CAGAUGGACAAUGCUUUAGCGGACAUAUUGGAGUUGGCUUUGCUAAUUAACAAAGGAAGUGGCAUGGGUUAAGGACUUGAGUUGCUAAUCUGGUGAAUUGUAUUACCAUUGUAUGCUUCUCAAUGUCAGCCCACAAGGAGUCCAUUGAUCCUAUUGCCUAAUAUGACGAAUUCUACAUCUGAAAAAGGAUCAAUUCGAUGGUCUGAUAAUUAUACGUUCAAGGAGCUUCGUGUAGGAAUCGCUCCAAAAUCAGCGGAAUCCGCCAUGUCUACAUGUCUCUGACUCAAAAGGAAGUUCCUGCAGGAGCGGGUGCACAUGCUGCUAAGCUUAUAGGGCAGGGAGUACGUGGUACUAACUGAAAAUAAGGAUGAGGAGGUGGGUGAGCUGAGGGCGCCAAGGUGGACCCAAGUCCGGUCAGCGUUUAAGGAGGCACAUACCAACCUAUCAAACACUAACAGUCAUGUUGCACUUUAAGCUACAUAUGCUUCCAGAGAGGAGAAUUGUAAGUUCCUUCGCCCAGUGGCAAAGAGGAUGGGAGCGACAGGAAGCCUCCGAAGCCUUUGGACUGGCGCGACAUGAAUCCUGAAGGUUUUUAGUACAGCGGCAAAGAUCCAUGCUUCGCAGGUUAAACUGCUCCCUCGAGCGAUGAGCUUUUGGGCUGACGUUAUAUUUCCAAGCCGGCCCACUUAUAUCCACGUAAGGCAAGGCGGAGGCAGCCUGCGCUGGGCUCAAUGAAGCCGACCCACAUAAGGAGAGACAAAAAAUUACUAUUAUGCAUAAUAUAGUCCCACCUCGCCCCCUUACAUUAAAUCCUCCCAAUUUAUAUACGCCUUUAAGUUUUUCUUGUUGUCAAGCAGCCGUCACAUGAAUUAAUGAGCGAAGGGUGUGAGAACUAAGCGG